CCCGACUGCUAUCGGGGUGAGGCUAAGCCAUGGGAGUCGCGCGCCCCGCCGCCGCGGGGCGCGGCGCACGGCUGAGUAACACGUGGCUAACCUGCCCUCGGGACGGGGAUAACCCCGGGAAACUGGGGCUAAUCCUCGAUAGGCGAGGGGGCCUGGAAGGGUCCCUCGCCGAAAGGGACCUCAGGGGGUUAUCGCCUGGGGUCCACCCGAGGAUGGGGCCACGGCCCAUCAUGGUAGUUGGCGGGGUAAUGGCCCGCCAAGCCGACGACGGGUAGGGGCCGUGGGAGCGGGAGCCCCCAGAUGGGCCCUGAGACAAGGGCCCAGGCCCUACGGGGCGCACCAGGCGCGAAACCUCCGCAAUGCGGGAAACCGUGACGGGGUCACCCCGAGUGCCCCCGUAAGGGGGCUUUUCCCCGCUGCAAGGAGGCGGGGGAAUAAGCGGGGGGCAAGUCUGGUGUCAGCCGCCGCGGUAAUACCAGCCCCGCGAGUGGUCGGGACUCUUGCUGGGCCUAAAGCGCCCGUAGCCGGCCCGGUAAGUCCCUCCUUAAAGCCCCGGGCUCAACCCGGGGAGCGGGGGGAUACUGCCGGGCUAGGGGGCGGGAGAGGCCGGGGGUACCCCAGGGGUAGGGGCGAAAUCCGAUAAUCCCUGGGGGACCACCAGUGGCGAAGGCGCCCGGCUGGAACGCGCCCGACGGUGAGGGGCGAAAGCCGGGGGAGCGAACCGGAUUAGAUACCCGGGUAGUCCCGGCUGUAAACUAUGCGGGCCAAGGUGUCGGCCCCCGUUUUCCCGGGUUGAACCUGGCGGUUUUAGGGGGAAUUACCGGGCGGGCUUAGGUCCUUGAAGCGCAGCGAGGAGCCCGACCGGGGGAGGCUGUGUUACUUUGCUGUAGACCCAAAUUUUCCCGGGGUAAUCCCCCGCAGAAGGCAGCGUGAAAAACCUCCCCUACGAGCUUAUAGAAGUGCCUUGUCGUCGUCUCGCCUCAUGCCGAAGUUGCCUGUCUAGUCCGGAAAAAAGGAGACGCCCCUCCCUUAUUGCCUCCAGGUGCUUUCCGAACCGGGCACUCCUAAGGGGACUGCUCGGCUAGAGCCGAGAAACGUGGGGCCUACGGAAGGUCGUAUGCCCGAAUCUCCGGGAUCACCCGGAGCUGCAAUGCGGGAUACACCU
rnacentral:rRNA from 1 species